AUGAGUAGGCCCCCAAUAGGCCAGGAAGAGGGCAACUCACGUUGGCUCAAACCAGCAGGUCGUGGACCAUGUAGAGCAGCAGCGUGGAGGCCUAAAGGCUUUUGUAGCAGCCGUCCACCAGGAAGCAAUGGAACAGCUUGUGACCUAUGGAAAGAAGCGGGAGAAGGCCUAGACGUUGGUUUAGUGAGCAGCAAUUUAGGUGACAGCCUAACAGCAGAAGCAAACACGUCUAGACGUCCUCUAUUGUCCGUGUCACUUGAAGAUUUUCAUGCGAGAGAAGGCGAAGUACUGCCUCUGAUACCCGCGGAUGAAAAGCCAAUGGCAACGUGUGAAGCACGUGGCAACGCAUCGCUCCUGAAGGUACAAGGAGCCGCGCAAGCAACGUCGCCUCCGACAGUAAUGGAGGAAAUGGCAUCAUCACCUACACCCGUACUUCUACAGCCCGAUGUUGCACCCAUAUUCGGAGAGAACUCUUCAGACACUUGA
rnacentral:rRNA from 1 species